rnacentral:lncRNA from 1 species
AUGACAGGUUCCUGGGCCGCGCCGCCUCGCCCUGCCUGGGCGGGGUUGGGACCUUUCUGGCACCUGCGUCGAAGCCGGCGGCAGGAUGGACUUUGUUGUCCCGGUCCCAGACCACCCUCCUCCACCGUCGCCUCCCACUGCAAAAAGGCCUGGAUAAGGAACCUAAUUCGAGCUACCCUUCUCUGUGAAGCUCGACGGCUGAGAACGUCAGGGCUCGUUCCCAAGUCUCUUUCCAGAGGCCAGGCUUUAUGGGAGCAUGGGUUACCAGCGACGCACCCUGUGAGUUUUCCUCUAUCGAUAUGCAUGGAGCGGUUCGGGAGCGGUGGCUCAUUCCUGUAGUCCCAGCACUUCGGGAAGCUGUGGCGGGAGGAUCAGUUGAGUUCAGGAGUUCGACACCACCCUGGGCAACAUAGCGAGACCACAUCUCUACAAAAAAAAUACAAAAAUUAGCCCGGUGUGAUGGCGCGCGCCUGUAGUCCCCGCUACUUAGGAGGUUGCGGUGGAAGGAUUGCUUGAGCCUGGGAGGUCAAGGUUGCAGUGAGCUAUGAUCGCACCACUGCACUUCAGCCUGGGCAACAGAGCAAGACCCGGCAUUAAAACAAACAAAAACGGGCCGGGCGCGGUGGCUCACAGCUGUAAUCCCAGCACUUUGGGAGGCCAAGGCAGGUGGAUCGCCUGAGGUCAGGAGUUCCGAGACCAGUCUGGGCAACAUGAUAAAACCUCGUCUCUACUAAAAAUACCAAAAAUUAGCCGGGCUUGGUGGAGGGCACCUGUACCCAGCUACUUGGGAGGCUGAGGCAGGAGAAUCGCUUGAACCCGGGAAGCGGAGGCUACAGUAAGCCGAGAUCAAGCCAUUGCACUCCAGCCUGGGCAGCAGGGCAAGACUCUGUCUCAAAAAAAGGGACUGAGGGACUGUAGGUGGUGAUACCAAAGAAAGCAUGGCCAUUUAGGAAGCUAGACUUGAGUGAGCAGUGGGCAAGAGAGAUUUUGAAGAUAUUUCCACUAGUAAUGGAGGAUCAUUUUAAAAAGCUGGCCUGUGGGUUGGGCUUUUGUUGUUGGGUGGUGUUGGCACUCACUGUGGGUGGGCAAAGGGGAGUAGCCCUUUCAGAGGGAGAGGAAAAGUUCAAGUAGGACAGGCUGAAUUCAAGGGAGAGGAAAAUUUCAAGUAGGACAGGCUGAAUUCGAGGGAGAGGACCAUGAGAGAGGUAAGGUGGAAGGGGCAAGGUGUUGGGACAGGCCCCAGCUGGCAGGAAGGUGAACCCAGUCAGAGUGGGCACUGAGAGGAAAGCAAUCUAUGGAUGGUACAGCCACAAUUUCCAUCUCAGGAUCAAGCAGAGAAAGAGAGGCUGGAGAAGGAAGAGUGACAGAAGUAAGAAGAGAGUGUCUCUCCACUUCCACUCCAGCCCCCUACAGCUCAUCCUCCAGCAGGCAGCCAAGGGCACUUUUAGGAUCUCACAUCAGGUCCUUGCCUCACAUUCUGCACUGGCUUCCCAAGUAAUUAAAGUAAAAUCCAAAUUCCAGCUCACAGCUUAGAAAACUCAGCAGGACUGGCCUCUGUCCUAUCCCACACCCCACCUCAGUCCCUCAAGCUCAUCUCCUGUCAUUCCUGCCCAUUUCUGGACCCCAGCCACUCCUCAAACAGGGUGAGGAUGCAGUGUCCAAGGCACCAUCUUGAACUCAUCAUCGCCAAAUAUGUGAGCACCUUGAUGUUGGACUUCCCAACCUCCAGACCGUAAGGCAGUACAUUUCUUUGUAAAUUACGCAGUCUCAGCUAUUCUGUUACAGCAGCACAAAUGGACUAAGACAACCCCCGAGAUAGGAAGGGGUAAGGUAAAUGCAAUGAGAGUUGGGGUUUUCGAUCUUAGUCCAGUAAAGGAGCUGGAACUGUUCUGUAUAAACAAAGGGCAAGGUAAUUGCUACAUAGAUUCUUUUCUUAUUAUUGCUGAUUCUUAUCCUAAAAUAAAGGACAUUGCCACUACACAUCCUCUAGAAUGACCAAAAAUAAAAAUACAGCAUCAAAUGGGACGACAUGGUGCCAACUGGAAUUCUCAUACCCUGCUGAUGGGAGUAUAAUGUGGUACAGUCACUUUGGAAAAAAGUUUGACAAUUUCUUAUAAAAUUAUACAUAAACCUGUACUAUGACCUAGAGAUUCUACUCCUGUUUGUUCAAAAGAAAGGCAAACAUCUGUCCACUAAAAGAUAUGUACAAGAAUGCUCACAGUGGCAUUAUUUAUGACGGUCCAAACCAGGAGAUAAUCCAAAUGUCUGUAACCAAGAGAAUGGAUAAAGAAAUUUUGAUACGUCAAUUUAAUGGAUUACUACUUAGCAAUAAAAAUAAUUAGCCAUGCUGGGCGCGGUGGCUUAUGCCUGUAAUCCCAGCACUUUGGGAGGCUGAGGCAGGUGGAUCACCUGAGGUUGGGAGUUCAAGACCAGCCUGACCAACAUGGAGAACCCCCGUCUCUACUAAAAUACAAAAUUAGCCGGGGUGGUGGCGCAUGCCUGUAAUCCCAGCUACUCGGGAGGCUGAGGCAGGAGAAUCACUUGAACCCGGGAGGUGGAGGUUGCAUUGAGCCGAGAUUGCGCCAUUGCACUCCAGCAUGGGCAAAAAGAGCAAAACUCCGUCUCAAAAAAAUAAAUAAAUAAUAAUUAGCCACAUAUCCACACAACAAUAUUGCAUUAUCACAGGUAUAGUGAUAAAUACUGUAUGAUUCCAUUUAUAUGAAGUUCAAGAACAGGCAAGUAAUCCAUGAUGAAAGAAGUACUUACCUCUGGGGGUGGCAGCAUUGACUAAAGAGGUACAAGGGAGUCUUCUGGGGCCUGGAAAUGUUCUAUAUCUUGAUCUGGGUGGUGGUUACACAGGUAUACGCGUGUUAAGAAAUCAUCAGGCUGUAUACUUAGUGUACUGUAAUGGCAUUACACUGUCUUUCAAUUAAAAUGUGAAAGAAAAAACGGGGGUGUCUUUUGCUUCCACAUUUGUAGCCCCAGCUUCUGUAUCUCCUGCGUGAUAAUGGUUGGAUGAAUUAAAAGGUAGGAGGAAUAGAAGAGGAGAAAAGCAAUAGGAAGAGGAAGGCUGGAAGAAAAGCCCAGCUCCACUGUCUCACUUGGGUGUCACUGGGUACUGGGGAAUUUGGAAGCACUAGGGAACAGAGAGGAAGGUGCUCCCUUAGGCUUCCACUUCUCAGCCCAGUAGUGAGAGGCUAUGAAGCUGUUGCCCCCUGGUGGGGGACAAGUGAGACCAGUGAGAGAGGGUUUUUGCCUUAGAAUUGCCCCUUCC